GUGUCAGAACAUAAAAAGUGCCUUUCUGCCAAUGUACUCACACAAGGUGGUUUGGUAUCUUUAUUUUAGAUACCUUGUGUGAGUACAUUGGCAGAAAUGCACUUUUAUGUUCUGACUC